CGGUUUCUGUGUCGCAGCUAACGCAUUAAAGUUCCCGCCUGGGGAGUACGGCCGCAAGGCUAAAACUCAAAGGAAUUGACGGGGGCCCGCACAAGCGGCGGAGCAUGCGGAUUAAUUCGAUGCAACGCGAAGAACCUUACCAAGGCUUGACAUAUACCGGAAACGUCCAGAGAUGGUCGCCCCGCAAGGUCGGUAUACAGGUGGUGCAUGGUUGUCGUCAGCUCGUGUCGUGAGAUGUUGGGUUAAGUCCCGCAACGAGCGCAACCCUCGUUCUAUGUUGCCAGCACGUUAUGGUGGGAACUCAUAGGAGACUGCCGGGGUCAACUCGGAGGAAGGUGGGGAUGACGUCAAAUCAUCAUGCCCCUUAUGUCUUGGGCUUCACGCAUGCUACAAUGGCCGAUACAAAGGGCUGCAAUACCGUAAGGUGGAGCGAAUCCCAAAAAGUCGGUCUCAGUUCGGAUUGAGGUCUGCAACUCGACCUCAUGAAGUCGGAGUCGCUAGUAAUCGCAGAUCAGCAACGCUGCGGUGAAUACGUUCCCGGGCCUUGUACACACCGCCCGUCAAGUCAUGAAAGUCGG
rnacentral:rRNA from 1 species